rnacentral:rRNA from 1 species
UGACCUCAGAUCAGAUAAGGAUACCCC